rnacentral:lncRNA from 1 species
CGGAUUGGGAUGUUGGCCGGACACAAUGGUUAUAGCAGCUGUAGCGUCAGGUUAAAUAAACAGAAGACCCUGAUGACCACCAUUAGAUUCGGUGCUGUGCUCUAACUACUCCUGCUGCUCAAGCCUUGCAGGAAAACUGGUUUGUAAAGCCCUUUCUUCCCCAGUCUCCUUUCCUACAGCCUCACACCAAGAUGACCCGACUCUACUUUGAGAAGGUCAGUACCUUCUACACGCAUCCUGGAGUAGACGUUUGCUCUGGGCAUCACAGUUCUUGUCUUGGUACUUGGCGUAGGAAGUGCUCAGUGUGAUUGUAGGUUAGCAAACCUUCAGAUCAGGGCUUUAUUCUUAGUAGACAAGUAUACCCACUGGAUGAGGAAUCUUUGGAGUAAGCACCAUUUUCUUCCUAUCACCUUUUCUUGAAAACUGAUUUCCAGCUUUGAGUAGGAAGAGCCUUGGUGUACGACAUUGUAUAUGAAGCUGCUUGUGAGUUCAGUUCAUCUUUUCUGUGGUUUGAGUUGUGACUCUCCUGUUAUCAAUUAAAUAAAGCUUGCUUUGCCAUAACC